GACGAACGCUGGCGGCGUGCUUAGCACAUGCAAGUCGAACGGAAAGGCCCUGCUUUUGUGGGGUGCUCGAGUGGCGAACGGGUGAGUAACACGUGAGUAACCUGCCCUUGACUUUGGGGUAACUUCAGGAAACUGGGGCUAAUACCGGAUAGGAGCUCCUGCUGCAUGGUGGGGGUUGGAAAGUUUCGGCGGUUGGGGAUGGACUCGCGGCUUAUCAGCUUGUUGGUGGGGUAGUGGCUUACCAAGGCUUUGACGGGUAGCCGGCCUGAGAGGGUGACCGGCCACAUUGGGACUGAGAUACGGCCCAGACUCCUACGGGAGGCAGCAGUGGGGAAUAUUGCACAAUGGGCGGAAGCCUGAUGCAGCAACGCCGCGUGCGGGAUGACGGCCUUCGGGUUGUAAACCGCUUUCGCCUGUGACGAAGCGUGAGUGACGGUAAUGGGUAAAGAAGCACCGGCUAACUACGUG
rnacentral:rRNA from 1 species